CCACGCACUAUGAAGGGUAGGCCUCGUUGGCUUCUGGUCCCACACGUCGGUGUGUGGGUCGUUACCUUUCUAGCUUCGAUGUUAGAUACUGGAGAGAGGGGAGAUGGCGUGGGCGUCUUCUCCCCUUCUUCCGCACCUUUCUGCACGCACGAGAAAGGAUGAACCCAUCCUGAGCCGGAGUACUCCGAGCAGUGCGCCCCUUCCCCCGUUCUCCUCCACCAUGCCUGGGCUCCGCCUCCUCCGCCCGCAUCCUCCUCCUCCCCUCUCUCUCUCUUCUAAACCAUCGUCCUCCUCCCUCGUUGCUGGACCCUGCCCUGCUUCGCCUCCUCCGCCAGCCUCUUCCUCCUUGCCGUCGAUGGUAGCGGUGUGAACGGGGGCAGCGGCCGUGAUUAGCUGUGAUGAGUUGACCGAGCUGGUUCCACACUAAGGAACGAACCCCCUUGACGCCAUCCUCUGUGGCACUACUCUGCUGCCUCCGUUCGUCAGUUAAUCUGGUUUGUGAUCUCUUCCGCAUUCCCCUUUCCAGGAGUUCUUGCCUUCAACGCUGAGAAGUAUUUGAUAUAUCCUGGGUACGGAUGAUUGAUUUAUUUGCAGAAUGUCCCAGAAAUUGUGAAUCUCGGUUUACAAGAAUCAACACGAAUGUUGAAACAUUGAUUUUUUUGAAGGUAUUUUUUCCUGUUCCCAAGCAUUUUCCUCAUGUUUGCUUCUAAAACGUUGCUUAGCAAGCAUUAUAUGAUUCAUGGAAUUAACUUAGCAAGGAUAAUGUAUCAGUUUAACUUUUGUAAAGAAGCAGACGAGCAGUGCAGUAACCCUACAUUAAAAUUAUGAGAUAUGUCAUAAUUCCGACAACGGUUCCAUAUAGGAAAUAUAAGAUACGCAUAGAGAAGAGCUCAAACUGGACAUUCUUUUCUUUUAGUUUCUAGAAUCCUUGGCAGAGGGUGUUAUAUAUUUCCAUAAAAAUAAUCAGCGACAGAGAUUUAAAUGUAGUAACAUAUGUUUAUGCUUUAAAGUCCGGUGUCGAACAGUACCCAUGAUAAAGCUACACGGUUGGAUGCUAUUGAUCACGUAAGGUGAGCUUAUAUGACUUGGUUUAACCUUUUUAGAUUAUGUUACCGAAUAUUAGGAGAACUUUUUGAUAUGUGUAUUUGUAGAAUUUGCUGAUGUUUGUUGCAAAAUAUUGGUGGCUAGGCACUAUGCUCCACAUACGCAAAGUUUUCAGUUUCUAUUUUCAUAAUUGCACCAGCCUUUUCUGUACCAACAAUGUGACGCUGCACUAAUAUAGAUUUUCACAAGCCAUGGAAAAAUAAAUAAUUUGACAAUCAAUAGCCUCCAGUCUACAACUGUAAUUUUGUGCCCACUUUGGAGCUAUUGGAUGCCUGAAUGUCUCACGUUCCUUUGGUGAUCGUUGUGUUGUGUUCAAAAUUGUAGCUUGAGAGGAGGAAAAUAAUUAAAUAGCAGGUUGUACAGAGUUGCUACCAUACCAUUUCUUUGUGACUGCAUGGUCUCACCGUCAAUUUUCUAAAAGUAUAUUAGCAUCUUGUUCUUGGAAGAACAGAUUUUCGUUAUGUACAGGAGGUCUAACCAGGCAUGUAGUUUUUUUAGUCCUUUGUUCCUUUGCUUGAUUUGGCGCGUGGCGUGGGCAUCUGUUUCAAGUUGGGCGGCAUACAAUCCAUGCAAGGGUACUUAGUUGUUGUAUGUAUGGCAGCUGCAGCAUCUUGCCAAUUAGUCCCCACUAAAAUUAAUUUAUCUCUCCACCUUUUUGGCUCAUGAAUAUCGAUGCGAGUACUGUAGGUACCUAAAUGCUAGAGAUUACCACCCUUGAGUAGGUUUCUCUAAACAGACAAUAUAUGGUGGUUAUUUCUGCUACUGUAGGUUUUUCCAUGGUUUUAAUUGUGUAUAUGGCAUAUUGGCGUUCUCAGAGUUGUGGUUCUAGAUUUGCUCGCUGCUCUAUAGAUCUAUUAUUUGAAGAACUAAUGAUAUACAUUGAGUUACCUCGCACCAUCAUUUAUCCUUUCAACUGCUUGAUUUGGAUUUUUUUUAAUGUUAUCAAAUAGUGUCCCUGUGUCUUAACAAGCCACCCAUUUGUCGUCUGUAUGUUUUGUCAUUCGCAAAGUUGUUGUCUGAUGAAGACAGUUUGUUGGUCGAGGUCACCCAAAUUGAGUAUGGUCUCUUUUAUGUCAUUGCUCUGCCAGAGUGCAAUUUUCAUUGCAUGGCAUACACCAGUUGCCGUUAGUUGAUAUGUUUGUUGAAGUUCCAUUACAAGUUAAAUAAAUUUGUAGUGUGAUAUACUGAUUCUUAUAGUUUGAUAAUGUUAUGCGUGGAUGGCCUUAGAUAUGUAAAUAAAAACACCUUUAAGAAAACUAAGCAUUCAAUUAUUGUUCUGUUGUGUUAUUGAUUUCACCGGUUUUAUGUCGAUCGAUUAGUUCUGAAGGAUUCCACAUCGGGUAAUUUAGAUUAUGUUACUAGAGUAUUAGAAGAACUUCCUGAUAUAUGUAUUUAGAGCAUUUGCUAAGAUUUGAUGCAAAAUAUUGAUGGUCAGGCAUUAUACUGCGCAUAAAUACAAUUUUUCAGUUUUUAUUUUUGUUGUUGCAGCAGUUUUUGUAUAGUGAUAGCCAAUAGUGCGACAUCACACUACUCCAUUUUCACAGGCCAUGCCACAUCUUUACAUGUAAGUUUGUUCUCUAUAUAGUUCUCUUUCCAACCUUUACAUAUCCUAUUUGUCAUGGGAUCUGGCUGCUUUACUAUCUUUUCCUGGUGUGGACGAUGUUAUAGAGUGAGCUACCAUCACUUCCCAUUACUAACUGUAAUCGAUAAAUAUGUGUUCAUGUUGUAAAAGUUGGAUAUUUGUCGAAGCCAUUGUCAUGUCAUGCAAUUACUUGCAGAUCAACUAUAUAGUUUUGUUCGGAUUAUAAAGCGGAAAUGAUAAAACCAUACAACCCUUGUGUGAGUUUCAUUUGAUUAUUUACUUCCUCAAGUAGUAUGGAUAUAGUGCUGCCAGGAUAUUAAGUAUAUUCAUGAAGUUGUGCAAAGUUUAAAAUUGGUUGUAGUAUCUUGCAUUUGUCAAAUCCUCAUAUGUUGCUGGUAGUCACGCUUAUGCUCAGGAUAUUAAGUAUGCUUGUGCUAUGUUGUGACUAAAUAAAAGUAAUGUACAGGUUUAUCUUUUGUUUGCUCUACUUAAAGAGUCCAGUGUUUACCCAGAGGGCAAUUAUAUGUUCCUACUGCUCUCUCACGUGUGAGGUCGAGAAAAUCACUGAUGUUUCUAUUUUACUUGGCCUGCAUUUUGGUUUUCAAAUAGUCCUGCUUCAAUUUGAUAUUUCUACUUGCUUUUUGUUUGGUAAUAUGAUGUAUUGUUUUCUAGCUCUAGGCCUACUUGUGUUCAAGGUUUAGUUGAUUGUGUUUCUUAAGGGUGUUUUUUUAGUUAGUGGCAUCAACUGCCUUUUCUUCGGGAUAAGCUGACACCUAAUAAGGAUCAUGAGAACAACAAAGAUGCUAAGAGGCAACAAUUUGGGGUUAAGGAUAUUAACAACAACAGGGCUUAUGAGGCCGAAGAGAGCUCGAGUGGUGUCUUUUGGUUCUUGAAGCCUUGCCCUUUCCUGGUGGAGUAGAAGCAAAAUAAUUCAGAGGCUUUAAGGCCCUAUUUGAUAGUAAAGUAUUUUCUAUGUAUUUCGAGAAUACUUCAGUUUUUCAGACUACCACAAUUUUAUUUACAAUCAGCUGUUUGGUUGCCCUAAAAACUGUGAUUUUAAUACUAUAGUAUUUGCUAAAACACUGUUUUUUCUCUGUUUUAUAAAAAGAACCCAAGACCUGUUUUUUAAAAACAGAGCAGACAAAAGAACGAUGUCGCACGUCGUCAACUUCUUCCCUGCUGACUCGCCUCCCUCUACAAAAAUUAUUUGCGGCCGCCGCCCUGUGCUCUUUGUAGAUCCCUGCUGCAUGUAGGCCUCUCUCCAUGGCUCGCCGUUGUCCCAUCUGCUACACGUGCAGCUCCGCCGCAGAUGCGUAAGAUGGCCAAGCAGCCAGUCCUCGUGCAGCUCUGCCGCUUGGUGCCGCCCAACGAUUUUUUGGUCAUGGCCGUUCAGUGGAGUUCACUUAGGAUGCGUUUGGUUGAAGGUGUCGUAUGAAUGGGUUGGAACCGUUCAAUUUUUUUGGGAUUGAACCAUUCAAUUCAUGUGUUUGGCUGAAUAUAAGUGGUG